UCAGAUUGAACGCUGGCGGUAUGCUUUACACAUGCAAGUCGAACGGCAGCACGGACUUCGGUCUGGUGGCGAGUGGCGAACGGGUGAGUAAUGCAUCGGAACGUGCCCAACUGUGGGGGAUAGCUCGGCGAAAGCCGGAUUAAUACCGCAUACGAUCCACGGAUGAAAGCGGGGGACCUUCGGGCCUCGCGCAGUUGGAGCGGCCGAUGUUAGAUUAGGUAGUUGGUGGGGUAAAGGCUCACCAAGCCGACGAUCUAUAGCUGGUCUGAGAGGACGACCAGCCACACUGGGACUGAGACACGGCCCAGACUCCUACGGGAGGCAGCAGUGGGGAAUUUUGGACAAUGGGCGCAAGCCUGAUCCAGCAAUACCGCGUGCAGGAAGAAGGCCUUCGGGUUGUAAACUGCUUUUGUACGGAACGAAAAGGUCUGGGUUAAUACCCUGGGCUCAUGACGGUACCGUAAGAAUAAGCACCGGCUAACUACGUGCCAGCAGCCGCGGUAAUACGUAGGGUGCAAGCGUUAAUCGGAAUUACUGGGCGUAAAGCGUGCGCAGGCGGUUAUGUAAGACAGGCGUGAAAUCCCCGGGCUCAACCUGGGAAUUGCGCUUGUGACUGCAUAACUAGAGUACGGUAGAGGGGGAUGGAAUUCCGCGUGUAGCAGUGAAAUGCGUAGAUAUGCGGAGGAACACCAAUGGCGAAGGCAGUCCCCUGGACCUGUACUGACGCUCAUGCACGAAAGCGUGGGGAGCAAACAGGAUUAGAUACCCUGGUAGUCCACGCCCUAAACGAWRUCRACUGGUUGUUGGGUAUUUACUUACUCAGUAACGAAGCUAACGCG
rnacentral:rRNA from 1 species